rnacentral:tRNA from 1 species
GCCUUGGUGGCUCAGUUGGUUAAAGCGUCCGACUUCAGCUCAGGUCAUGAUCUCACAGUUUGUGGGUUCGAGCCCCGCAUCGGGCU